GGUACUGCUCCAGCGGGAAGGUAACAGCGUUCCAUGCAGUCAUGCCGGCCACAUGACCUUGGAGGUGUCUAUGGACAACGUCAGCUCUUCGGCUUAGAAAUGGAAAUGAGCACCAACCCCCAGAGUCGGACACGACUGGACUUAAUGCCAGGGAAAAACAUUUACCUUUACGUUAUGUGCAGCCCUGGAAGGUAUCCUCUGAGGAUACAGGGGCUGUACUAAAUUUCAUUUGUUUGCCACUCUUCUUCUGGAGUGAGACCCAAGGUAGCUUUCUUUUAGUGCAAAGGAAGUAAUUUCCUCAGACUUAAUUGUUUUAAUGCUCCAGUCCUGAUAAUGUUUCCAUGUCUGAACUAUCCAUUCACUGUUGUUCUUCCUUCAAAUGUUCUGAAUAGUUGUGUAUAGGGGAACUUGUUUACUAUUCAAACCUUUUGGUACCAGUCCAAAUUUUGCAGCCUCCAUUUCUAAAAAAAAAAGUAACGCAGGGCUGCAAACUGUCCCCCUCUGUUAGUCCCAAUUACAUAUGCCUGUAAGUUCUCCUCUUAUUUCUUUGGAGCUGAGCCUUGUUUCAGGAAGGCUUGGCUGAACUUAGCAAACCUUACUAGAGGGGGAACCCUUCCCUGCAAUCCAUUUCAGGUCUAAGCCCCUUUGAUGUCACAGCUGGCUCAAGUCAUCUCAUUUCCUCCAGCUCAAAAUGUGAAGCUGAUGCAAAAUGCUGGCAAGGCCUCUUUCCCUUCCCUUCUCCUUGAAAUGUAGCCAAGUGCACUGUUUGAUUUGGCCUGCACUUAUCCUGAACGUCCAGCUCAGCUUCGUUUUACUAGUCAGCGCCUGAUGCUUCUAGGUCCAGAUCCAGCCAGUAAGGGGACAUCAACUUCUUAUGACUUUUUUUCUUGCAGCAAUAAAACAAAAACGGCUCCAUCUGUUUCCAUUUUUGUCCAUUAUGGGUUUUUACUCCAUCCAGCUCCAAAAUUAGUACAUCGCCUUCAUGCUGCUCCCUAUACUUUUUUUUUUAAAUGGCGUUUGCAGUUACAUCAGAAGCAGAAAUGGAUGGAAGUAGAGAGCCUGAGAGAUGACACUGGAGAAGUUACAGAAGGUUGCUUCCUCACCGCAUCUUAGCAGAUCCAAGCUGGAACUGACAAGAUUUUGCAGAAAGAGAUUUCAGAAAGUUCCUGAGCACAAUGAAUGGAGGGAGCUAAACAAGCUAAGCCAAUGUUAGUUCUGGGAUACAUCUGCACUGUUGAAUUAAUGCAGUUUGAUCCUGCUUUUACUACCAUGGCUCAAUGCUAUGGGAUCCUGGGACCUAUAGUUUUUCCAAGAUAUUUAGCCUUCCCUGCUGAAAUGGAAUGAAGAGAAAAGUUAUCCCCAAAUGUGUCAGCCUUGUGUUUUGUUGCAAUAUGGAGCUCUACUUGAAAGCAGUAAGAUGAUAUCCAAACUUACCCUAUAAAGAAGUGAAAUCUU